AGAGAAAAUGAAGGAAGGAGAAAAAGUGAGAAACCUUGAGCCACCGCUGCCCCGCCAAACCCGCCAUUGUCGCCACCCCCGUCGAACCCAGCUACAGUCGCCCUCCGUUGCUGCUGCCCCGUCGGAAGCUAUCUAACCCAAAUAUCCUCUGAAGACAUCAGGUGGGAGGGUGAGGAAUCUGGAAUUUCCCACAGAGGUGAUCGAGCUGGUCAAGGUCGUGGUUUUAAGAAGUCUUUCAGCCCGUGGUGGGGCUGUUAGUGGCGCAGGAAGAGGUUGUGGAACCUUAAAGAGCCAGCCUAAGAAGACUUUACGUUUUCCCCAGAAUGGCAUUGGAAGAAAAGGAUUGACAGAUAUCCAGUUACUUCAUACUGAUACUCUAAUUAAAGAGGUUGAGAAAGUUUUAGUGCUAAUCAUCCUGAUCCAGCAGAGGUUGAGAAAGCCAAGAAAGUCUUGAAAGCAAUAAAUAUAUAAAAGGCAACCUUUAAUUUUCUAUUUGCACAAAUGUUAUAUGGGAAUUUAUUUGAACGCGUUAUUGUGUUGUGCAGGAGCAUGAACAAGCAUUGAUGGAAGCCAUUGGUAGGCUUCAGGAUGCAUCUGAUGGUGAAAGUGAUGGGGGAGAGAAUCCCUUUUCACAAGGACAAUCCAUGGACCGAGAGCAAGGAUGGAGGAAACAGCAGUAUGAUGAGAUGGGUGGCGAAGGUUAAUGGCAAAUGGGAGAAAGCGUGGCAUGGUACCUCAAGAGAAUGCAACCUCGUAUAUCGAGUAUGAUGAUGAUGGUAAUAGGAUAAAC